UCUUAACGUUAUGCUUCAUGUGAUGCUGGGACAGAGCCUGAGACUUUUAAUUUCACAGUCGUGGGUUCGAGCCCCACGUUGGGCA